CCCCAGGGGCGGGCCUGGCGCGCCCUCUGACCUUGCGCCACUAUUUCGUCUUAAGCUGGCCAGGUAGUCGGGGCCCUGACCGUCUUUCUGUUCUAUGGUGUUUGGGGUCGCAAACACGUGAAGCCAGACCCAUUUACCUUUGCACAAAUGGGCACCAAAAAAAAAAAAGAGAGGAAAUGCAAGCAAAUUUAUUAGGUAACCUGAGAAAAUGAAAAGCGCGCGCCAUAGAGAGGUAAUAUCUUUAAAUAAGGAAAAGAUAAAAAUGGCAUGUCACCUCCGAGAAAUCUCAUGCACAGCAAGGAGUUCCACAGAUUUUUUUUGUUCCAGGCUCCACCUCUCCACUUGGCCUGUGUUACUUAAUAUUAAUAGAAAAAAGACCUAAAAUCGCAAUAAAAGUCUCUGAUAGUGCCAACUGGCUUAGCAUCAAAAUUGAAAUACAAAAUGCAGUUUCAAAACUUUCUUGGUUCUCAGAGCUGCUAGGUAAUUAUUUCCUGUACCUCUCAACAGCACUCAUUUACUCAUUCACUUUGGUUUUGGCCGCUUAGCAUAAUAGGUAAGAAUAUGGACUCUGAAGCCAGAGAGCAUGAGUUUAAGUGCUGACUAUGCAAUUACUUAGCUGAAUGACCUUGAAUUAAUUGAUGUCUCUGUCCCUCAUCCCCCCAUCUGUAAAAUGGGGAUAAUGGUAGGACCUACUUACUAGGGUUGCUGUGGGGAUUAAUAUUUUUAAAGUGCUUAGAGCAGUUUCUGACUCAGAAUAAGAGCUUGGUAAGCUUUUGUUUAAAAAAUAAUAUUUACUAAGUUUGGCUUACUGGGUAUCAGGUAUUGGGACUAGAAUGGUGCAGCAGACAGACUCUAAAGUAACUCCCAUGAUCCCUGCCUCCUGGGUUGUGUAAUCCCCUCCCCUCGAAGGUGGGCAGGACCAUGACUCACUUCCAAUAGAAUAUGGAAAAGGUGAUGAGAUAAUCAUUCCCAUGAAUACAUUAUGCUAUAUGACAAAAGUGAUGGGAUGUCACUCCAAUUAUUAGGUUAUAUUAUUUAAGACUUUUUGCUAGCAGACUCACUUUGACUUUUUUUUUACUGGCCUUGAAGAAACAAACUGCUAUGUUGAGAACUGCCUAUGGAGAGAGCCACAUGGCAGGGAACUUCACACAUGUUCUAGGAGCUGAGAGUGGCCUCCAGCCAGUAAAAAUACAAAUAAACAAAAAACCCUUAAGUUUGCAGUCCUACAGCCAUGAGAAAAUAAAUUCUGCCAACAACUUGCCAGCUUGGAAGUGGAUUCUACUCCAAUCGAGCCUCCAGAAGAGAAUGCAGCCCAGCUGACACCUUGAUUGCACUGCAGUGAGACCUUGAAGCAGAAAACUAAGCCUUGCCCAACACCUGGAUUACAGCCUUUUGAGAGACCCUGAACCAGAUGCCCCAGUCAGAUGCUGAGGCCCUUGAUGGAUAUGCAGCAAUGAUAAGAAGAGAGCGCUUUACCACAAGCUGGAAGCCAUCUCUGAUUCAAAGUGCUGAGUGAACACUUAGUCCCCACCCCUGCUGCUCCAUGUGUAAAGAGCACCUUCAGAGGCUCACUCUUGCCAUCACUCCACGUGCUUACCUACUCAUUUCCAGAGGACCACGAGGGAACCGACAGGAAAACCCAACUACUACUGGACAGCUUUGAUGACCCUAUCACCUACUUCACAGAAUGCAGAAAUUCAGGAUGCAAUACAACUGAUUUGCUAAAGAGAUUGGGAAGGAUUUCUUAGCUUAGCUACAAAUGAGGACCAGAAUGCCUCGUGGAGUCAAAACUUGACCACACCUACUAAAUUAGCAGUGGCCCUGGGAUGUGGUCUGGGAUGAUUUCCAAACAAGUGUUAAGCAUUAUUUGUCAUGGACUUUUGGCAAUAAAAUGUUUAACUUUUUUAUUAAAGAUCACUAAGACGUUUGUCAGU